CCUACGGGACGCAGCAGUGGGGAAUAUUGCGCAAUGGGCGAAAGCCUGACGCAGCGACGCCGCGUGAGGGAUGAAGGUCUUCGGAUCGUAAACCUCUGUCAGCAGGGAAGAACGGUCACUGUGCUAAUCAGCAGUGAAUUGACGGUACCUGCAAAGGAAGCACCGGCUAACUCCGUGCCAGCAGCCGCGGUAAUACGGAGGGUGCGUGCGUUAAUCGGAAUUACUGGGCGUAAAGCGCUCGUAGGCGGUAUGUCAAGUCAAGGGUGAAAUCCCCGCGCUCAACGUGGGAACUGCCUUUGAAACUGGCAAACUGGAGUGUGUGAGAGGAUAGUGGAAUUCGAGGUGUAGGAGUGAAAUGCGUAGAUAUCUGGAGGAACAUCAAUGGCGAAGGCGACUAUCUGGCACAUAACUGACGCUGAGGAGCGAAAGCGUGGGUAGCAAACAGGAUUAGAUACCCCUGUAGUC
rnacentral:rRNA from 1 species